UACGGAGGGUGCAAGCGUUAUCCGGAUUCACUGGGUUUAAAGGGUGCGUAGGCGGCUAAAUAAGUCAGUGGUGAAAGCCCGCAGCUCAACUGCGGAAUUGCCAUUGAAACUGUCUAGCUUGAAUCUGGUUGAAGUGGGCGGAAUACAUCAUGUAGCGGUGAAAUGCUUAGAUAUGAUGUAGAACACCGAUUGCGAAGGCAGCUCACUAAGCCAACAUUGACGCUGAGGCACGAAAGCGUGGGUAGCGAACAGG
rnacentral:ncRNA from 3 species